rnacentral:rRNA from 1 species
GAUGAACGCUGGCGGCGUGCCUAAUACAUGCAAGUCGAGCGAAUGGAUUAAGAGCUUGCUCUUAUGAAGUUAGCGGCGGACGGGUGAGUAACACGUGGGUAACCUGCCCAUAAGACUGGGAUAACUCCGGGAAACCGGGGCUAAUACCGGAUAACAUUUUGAACCGCAUGGUUCGAAAUUGAAAGGCGGCUUCGGCUGUCACUUAUGGAUGGACCCGCGUCGCAUUAGCUAGUUGGUGAGGUAACGGCUCACCAAGGCAACGAUGCGCAGCCGACCUGAGAGGGUGAUCGGCCACACUGGGACUGAGACACGGCCCAGAUUCCUACGGGAGGCAGCAGUAGGGAAUCUUCCGCAAUGGACGAAAGUCUGACGGAGCAACGCCGCGUGAGUGAUGAAGGCUUUCGGGUCGUAAAACUCUGUUGUUAGGGAAGAACAAGUGCUAGUUGAAUAAGCUGACACCUUGACGGUACCUAACCAGAAAGCCACGGCUAACUACGUGCCAGCCGCCGCAGUAA